AGCGGGCUCCGGUUCAUCACGUGGCAGCCGCCUGCAGGAGCCGCAGGUGAGAAAGUAUAAGAAAAUUGUCCUCGACCUGCUGGUGUAUGGACUGUAUGACCCUGUGAAUUUGGAAGUCAUCCAUGAGAGUAUGAAGACUCUGACCGUUGUUCUGGGCAAGAUCCAGGGGAAAGGUUUGGGUUCCUUCUUCAUAGACAUCACCCUUCAGACCAGGACUUUAUUAGAUGAUGAGAACGACAGUCUGAGAUACUCGGCCUUUGUUUUGUUUGGGCAAUUGGCUGCCUUUGCCGGGAGAAAAUGGAAAAAAUUUUUCACCAGUCAGGUUAAGCAGACACAAGAUUCCCUCCUGAUCCAUUUACAGGACAGAAAUCCCCAGGUUGCCAAGGCUUGCAAAACCACAUUUCGAGCCUGUUCUCCAUAUCUGAAACUAAAGAAGGAAUACAGCUUCCAGAGUGAAGAAGAUCAAAGGAACACUAAGCUCU
rnacentral:sRNA from 1 species